GGCACCUCCCACCCCAGAGAACUUUGGCCUCAGCUGAGAGCAGCUCAGACAGAGGACAACAGGGGAAGGUGUACAGCCCUGCAGAGAGCCCUCUAGGACUUGAGCCUGAAGGAGAUAAGAGUGGCCUCUCUGGUUCCCACCCUAUGACCUGGGACAGCAACACCGACAAGUAGAAACCUCGCUGUCUUGAUCCUCUGCUCCAAAACCCUGCUGCUGGACAUCACAUCCCUAAGCCUAGGUGGUCCUGCUCUUGCCU